rnacentral:rRNA from 1 species
CGCGGGGCAACCUGGCGGCGAGUGGCGAACGGGUGAGUAAUAUAUCGGAACGUACCCUGGAGUGGGGGAUAACGUAGCGAAAGUUACGCUAAUACCGCAUACGAUCUAAGGAUGAAAGUGGGGGAUCGCAAGACCUCAUGCUCCUGGAGCGGCCGAUAUCUGAUUAGCUAGUUGGUGGGGUAAAGGCCUACCAAGGCAUCGAUCAGUAGCUGGUCUGAGAGGACGACCAGCCACACUGGAACUGAGACACGGUCCAGACUCCUACGGGAGGCAGCAGUGGGGAAUUUUGGACAAUGGGCGCAAGCCUGAUCCAGCAAUGCCGCGUGAGUGAAGAAGGCCUUCGGG